rnacentral:rRNA from 1 species
UACGUAGGGUCCGAGCGUUGUCCGGAAUUACUGGGCGUAAAGCGCGCGCAGGCGGCCCGCGAGGUGUCACGUGAAAGCCCCGGGCUCAACCCGGGAGGGUCGUGACAAACCGGCGGGCUUGAGGCCGGUAGAGGUGGGUGGAACUCCUGGUGGAGUGGUGAAAUGCGUAGAGAUCAGGAAGAACACCCGUGGCGAAGGCUGCCCACUGGGCCGGUACUGACGCUGAGGCGCGAAGGCGUGGGGAGCGAACGGG